rnacentral:rRNA from 1 species
GACGAACGCUGGCGGCGUGCUUAACACAUGCAAGUCGAACGGAAAGGCCCCUUUGGGGGUACUCGCUUGGCGGACGGGUGAGUAACACGUGAGUAACCUGCCCUUGACUUCGGGAUAACUUCAGUCAACUGGGUCUAAUACCGGCUAGGAAUCCUUGCUGCAUGGUGGGGGUUGGAAAGCUUCGGCGGUUUUGGAUGGACUCGCGGCUUAUCAGCUUGUUUGUGGGGUAGUGGCUUACCAAGGGUUUGACGGGUAGCCGGCCUGGGAGGGCGAACGGCCACAUUGGGAAUGAGAUACGGGCCAGAAUCCUACGGGAGGCAGCAGUGGGGAAUAUUGCAAAAUGGGCGGAAGGCUGAUGCAGCAAAGGCGGGGGGGGGAUGACGGCCUUCGGGUUGUAAACCGCUUUCAGCAGGGGCGAAGCUGGUGGUGACGGUACCGGCAGAAGAAGCACCGGCUAACUACGUG